rnacentral:pre_miRNA from 1 species
AGUGGAAUAGCUGUGUAAUAUGGUGGGUUCUUUUCUAGUUUUUUGAGGAAUCGCCAUACUGCUUUUCAGAGUGGUUGUACUAAUUUACAGACUCAUCAACAAU